CGAGCAAAAAACUUAAAAGAGGGGUGAGAAAAGACAAAACACCAGCAGACCAACCGUCUGCCACGCAUUAAAACAGUCCCUCCGGUAGAGCAAAAUCCAAAUAGAAAGAAUAACAAUAAACAGAAAAAUAAAAUAAAAAACAAUUAAUACCCCUCUUCAUCCUAAUCUCUUAUCAGCAAUUACACGAAAUGGAACCUCCCCUCUUCCUCAGAUGAAAGGCAUGAAAUCAUAGAAUAAAACGAGAGCAUUCCUUCUUGAUCUGAUAAAGUCGGAGUCCAAAAAUCAUCAAUCCUUCAGUCAUUCCUGUUCAAUCACCAUCGGUCCUGAUCUGCUUCUCUUUCCACUCUCUCCGGAGCUUCUUCAAUCCAGCACAUAGAGCAAGCAUGAUACUUCCCUUCCUUAGCCAAUAUAUGAGCAGUGUUGUUUGCUUUUCGAGGUACAAAUCUGAAACUUAUGCUUUCAAACCGCCGGGAUCUUGCUCUAAUUUCUUCGAUUAAAGCACUAAUACAAGAUUUAUCUUCCACUGAUGCCUUUUUUUUUCAUGGCAAUCAAGGUAUCCCCUUCGACCAUAAUCCUUUGAAAACCCAAAUCUUCCGCAAAGAUUAGGUAUUGUAGACAAGCAGGUGCCUCCGCCACUGUGGAAUCCAUCACAUACUCAUUCAGGUGUGUACAUGCAGCCAUUAUUUGCCCUUCCGCAUUUCUUGCUAUAAUUCCAGAAAUUGAAAUGUUAGUGUGUUGAUGAAAUGCUGCGUCAAAAUUUAAUUUCAUAACUGCCCCUAUUGGCGGUUCCCAUUUCCUAUCCACUGGGGUUUGCAUAGUAGUUGAAACUUCUUCCAAAUUGUCAUUUUCGGUAAUAUACGCCUUAAUGAAAGCUAUGAUCCCAAAGGCAUUUUGACCUGCUCCCUCAUGAUAAAUAUGUUUCGGUUGAACCAUAAUGCCCAAAAAGAAAUAGCUAUUAGUUUGCAUUUGGCUUGACUGCUAUUAAAAAAUAUAUUAGCUAACCAUGCUUUCCAAUUGCGUUCACUGCUGGUGGCGGAAAAAUCCGCGUCCAACCCAUGCAGGAAUUACCGAGUAAAGGGGCACUCACGGAACAAGUGGUCCACUGACUUCGCAGCAGAUCGACAAAGAGGGCAAGAAUUAUGAGCAGCGAUCCUUCGCGUCUGUAAAUUAAGUAGCGUAGGCAGAUAGUUAUUAGCAAUUCUCCAUAUUGUUAUCUUAAUUUUUCUCGCCAUGUUUAAGUCCUAUAGUUAGUAUAGAAAGCUUGUAUCAUAGGGGCAUGAAUAGUUGGAUCGUUACUUCGAAGAAGUUGAAUCCUCUGCCAAAAGCCAUUUGUAUCCGCUUUUAGCAGAAUAGACACCUUUGUUGUCCCCUUGCCAUACCAUCUCAUCCUGAUGGGCACUGCUAGAGAGCAGAAUUGCUAGGAUUUGCUUCAAUCUUUCAUCAAAUAGCGAUCUCAAUGUUAGAUUUGGUACUUUAAGCGUAGUAUUUUCAUCUAAAUUCACUUGUAAUAUCGAAUAGAUUGGUUGAUAAAAUUAUUCAUAAUUAUGUUAAUACUUUGUAUAGUGUUCUCAAAUUAUUUUUGUACACAAAGCAAAAUGGAAGAAAAUGUGGCUAACUUAUUGUCU
rnacentral:lncRNA from 1 species